GCAGCACUUAAACUUAGAAGAAGUGCAUGUGUGAAUGGGUGUGAUUGGGUUAAUGAAUUAGUUGUAUAAAGCGCUUUGAGUGCUCAGACAGAGUAGAAAAGCGUAUAUAAGAACCAGUCCAUUUACCAUUUACAAUAGUUUGGUAAAGACUGAAAGACUGAGGAGAAGAGUUGCUCAGUUCAUCAUGACAGGUCCAUUGCUAUCAUGCUUUAUAGGCUUUUGUUGUUGUUUUGGUUUCCUUAUGUAUUUAUUUUUGUAAGAUGGAUCCUUUUAUCCAUUUCCUCUUAAAUUUCCAUGUCUCUGUCUCAUGUGUGUGUGUGCUUGUCUUCAUCCAUUUUCUGUACUUUUUUUUUGUGUAUUUUUAGUUGUUUUACAGUAUAUCUUGUUUGCCUGUUAUUCUCAUCUAUCUGAAUGCCCGCCCCAUAUUUAUGGUCCAGGCUUUGUCUUGGUGCUAUUUUCUUAUCUGUUUUCCUUCCUUGUUGCCGUUCAGUUAAAGGCCUUUUGUGUUUCAGGUUUUUUUCUGGUUUUUUCCUUGUUUUUCCUUGUUUUUGGUAGUUUUGUUUGUUGUUACCAACUUCUUUUGGUAACUUUUUUUUUUCUUUCAUUAGGCUAAUAUGUUUCACUAAAGUUCUUAUUACUUUUAUGUAACCUGCCAGACUCCUGUUUUCACUUUCGCUCACAGCCAUUCUCAGUAUUCUUUAGUGAUGAUGUGUGACUCAUUGAGUAGGCCUGCUGAGCAUUUUUGUUAAUGUUUUUUUUAUGUGCAAGGUACUGUACAUUGUAAAUGAGUAAAUAUAGCAGAAAACACAAGGUUCACAGAAACUGAAACAUUUUUGGUUACUAAAUCUAUGGCCCUGUGAAAAAUAUCUGUCUUCAUAUGCAUAUGAACUUGAGUGACAUCCCAUUCUUAACCCAUAGGGUUUAAUAUGAUGUCAGCCCACCCUUUCCCUUUGCAGCUUGAACCCUUCUGCGAUAGUUUUCCAUAAGGUUUAAGAGUGUUCAUGGGAAUUUUGACCAUUUUUCAAAAAGCACAUUUGUGAGAUCAGACACUGAUGUCGGAUGAGAAGGCCUGGCUCGCAGUCUCCACUCUAAUCCUUCCCAAAGGUGUUCUGUCGGGUUGAGGUCAGGACUCCAUGCAGGCCAGUCAUGUUCUUCCACACCAAACUCGCUCAAGCAUGACUUACUUUGUACACUGGUGUCCAGUCAUGUUGGAACAGGAAGGUGUUGCCUACCACAAAUUUGGAAGCAUGAAAUUAUUCAAAAUGACUU
ensembl:lncRNA